rnacentral:rRNA from 1 species
UAUUCUUAGGUAGCGGAACGUCCUGUGUUGAAACCGUGCAAACGUAACAGGAGCGAGCAUGCACACAUGAGUAACAAAGAUGAGAACAACCAUUGCCGAAUAUUCAAGGGUUAAAGCCAUGUGAAACGACAAAUUAGAGAAGAGCCAAAGUC